UAGUCAUAUGCUUGUCUCAAAGAUUAAGCCAUGCAUGUCUAAGUAUAAGCAUUUAUACAGUGAAACUGCGAAUGGCUCAUUAAAUCAGUUAUCGUUUAUUUGAUAGUACCUUACUACUUGGGAUAACCGUGGUAAUUCUAGAGCUAAUACAUGCUAAAAACCCCGACUCACGAAGGGGUGUAUUUAUUAGAUAAAAAACCAAUGCCCUUCGGGGCUCCUUGGUGAUUCAUAAUAACUAAACGAAUCGCAUGGCCUUGAGCCGGCGAUGGUUCAUUCAAAUUUCUGCCCUAUCAACUUACGAUGGUAGGAUAGUGGCCUACCAUGGUUUCAACGGGUAACGGGGAAUUAGGGUUCUAUUCCGGAGAGGGAGCCUGAGAAACGGCUACCACAUCCAAGGAAGGCAGCAGGCGCGCAAAUUACCCAAUCCCGACACGGGGAGGUAGUGACAAUAAAUACUGAUACAGGGCUCUUUUGGGUCUUGUAAUUGGAAUGAGUACAAUUUAAAUCCCUUAACGAGGAACAACU
rnacentral:rRNA from 1 species